GACGUAGGGCGCGAGCGUUGUCCGGAUUUAUUGGGCAUAAAGAGCUCGUAGGCGGCUUGUCGCGUCGGACUGUGAAAACCCGCGGCUCAACUGCGGGCCUGCAGCCGAUACGGGCAGGCUAGAGUUCGGUAGGGGAGACUGGAAUUCCUGGUGUAGCGGUGAAAUGCGCAGAUAUCAGGAGGAACACCGGUGGCGAAGGCGGCGACCUGGUCCGAUACUGACGCUGGAGGCGCG
rnacentral:rRNA from 1 species